rnacentral:misc_RNA from 1 species
AGCAGCCGCGGUAAUUCCAGCUCCAAUAGCGUAUAUUAAAGUUGUUGCAGUUAAAAAGCUCGUAGUUGAAUUUCGGGGUUAGUAGAUUGGUCAUGCCUCUGGUAUGUACUGGUCUCACUGAUUCCUCCUUCCUGAUGAGCCGUAAUGCCAUUAAUUUGGUGUUGCGGGAAUCAGGACUGUUACUUUAGAAAAAUUAGAGUGUUUAAAGCAGGCUCACGCUUGAAUACAUUAGCAUGGAAUAAUGAAAUAGGACGUUUGAUUCUAUUUUGUUGGUUUCUAGGAUCGACGUAAUGAUUAAUAGGGAUAGUUGGGGGCAUUAGUAUUCAAUUGUCAGAGGUGAAAUUCUUGGAUUUAUUGAAGACUAACUACUGCGAAAGCAUUUGCCAAGGAUGUUUUCAUUAAUCAAGAACGAAAGUUAGGGGAUCGAAGACGACCAGAUACCGUCGUAGUCUUAACCAUAAACUAUGCCGACUAGGGAUCGGAUGAUGUUUAAUUUUUAAUGUACUCAUUCGGCUACCG